GGACCCGCACAAGUAGUGGAGCAUGUGGUUUAAUUCGAAGAUACGCGCAGAACCUUACCAACACUUGACAUGUUCGUCGCGACUUUAAGAGAUUAAAGUUUUCGGUUCGGCCGGACGAAACACAGGUGCUGCAUGGCUGUCGUCAGCUCGUGUCGUGAGAUGUUGGGUUAAGUCCCGCAACGAGCGCAACCCUCACUUUUAGUUGCCAUCAUUAAGUUGGGCACUCUGAAAAGAACUGCCAGUGAUAAGCUGGAGGAAGGUGGGGGAUGACGUCAAGUCCUCAUGGCCCUUACGUGUUGGGCUACACACGUGCUACAAAUGGUAUCUACAACAGGAAGCAAAAACUGCAGGUU
rnacentral:rRNA from 1 species